GGAUGCAGCUCAGUGGUAGAGUGCUUGCCUAGCAAGCUAGAGGCACUGGCUUCCAUCCCAAUGUUGCCA
rnacentral:tRNA from 1 species